UCCCCAUUCCUUCUUUCCGAUCCGCGAUUACCCUGGACUCGAAGUCAGCCGACCCGGUUCUAGGCCAGCUCUGCCUCUCACCCUCUGUGACCUUGGGCAAAUCAUACAACUCAGGGACUCAGUUUCUUCCUCUCUAAAACGGAGAUGGACUGUUGCUCCAUCAGUCUCAGCCAGCAAGUUCAGCUCCGGCAAGUCAUUUGAUUCACCCGGUGAUGAAAUGGGGGUCAACCAGUCUGUGGGCUUUCCACCUGUCACAGGACCCCACCUCGUAGGCUGUGGGGAUGUGAUGGAGGGUCAGAAUCUCCAGGGGAGCUUCUUUCGACUCUUCUACCCCUGCCAAAAGGCACAGGAGACCAUGGAGCAGCCCCUGUGGAUUCCCCGCUAUGAGUACUGCACUGGCCUGGCUGAGUACCUGCAGUUUAAUAAGCGCUGGGGGGGCUUGUUGUUCAACCUGGCUGUGGGAUCUUGUCGCCUGCCUGUUAGCUGGAAUGGCCCCUUUAAGACAAAGGACUCUGGAUACCCCUUGAUCAUCUUCUCCCAUGGCCUAGGAGCCUUCAGGACUUUGUAUUCAGCCUUCUGCAUGGAGCUGGCCUCACGUGGCUUUGUGGUUGCUGUGCCAGAGCACAGGGACCGGUCAGCGGCAACCACCUAUUUCUGCAAGCAGGCUCCAGAAGAGAACCAGCCCACCAAUGAAUCGCUGGAGGAGGAAUGGAUCCCUUUCCGUCGAGUGGAGGAAGGGGAGAAGGAAUUUCAUGUUCGGAAUCCCCAGGUGCAUCAGCGGGUAAGCGAGUGUUUACGGGUGUUGAAGAUCCUGCAAGAGGUCACUGCUGGGCAGACUGUCUUCAACAUCUUGCCUGGUGGCUUGGAUCUGAUGACUUUGAAGGGCAACAUUGACAUGAGCCGUGUGGCUGUGAUGGGACAUUCAUUUGGAGGGGCCACAGCUAUUCUGGCUUUGGCCAAGGAGACCCAGUUUCGGUGUGCGGUGGGUCUGGAUGCUUGGAUGUUUCCUCUGGAACGUGACUUUUACCCCAAGGCCCGAGGACCUGUGUUCUUUAUCAAUACUGAGAAAUUCCAGACAAUGGAGAGUGUCAAUUUGAUGAAGAAGAUAUGUGCCCAGCAUGAACAGUCUAGGAUCAUAACCGUUCUUGGUUCUGUUCAUCGGAGUCAAACUGACUUUGCUUUUGUGACUGGCAACUUGAUUGGUAAAUUCUUCUCCACUGAAACCCGUGGGAGCCUGGACCCUUAUGAAGGGCAGAAGGUUAUGGUACGGGCCAUGUUGGCCUUCCUGCAGAAGCACCUCGACCUGAAAGAAGACUAUAAUCAAUGGAACAACCUUAUUGAAGGCAUUGGACCGUCGCUCACCCCAGGGGCCCCCCACCAUCUGUCCAGCCUGUAGGCACAACUGGCCAUUUGUAAAGUCACUUCAGCCAAGUUUUCAUUUGGGAGCUACCCAAGGGCACCCAUGAGCUUCUAUCAGGAAGUGAUCAACGUGACCCCUUUUCACAGAUUGAAAGGUGUAAUCACACUGCUGCUUGGAUAACUGGGUACUUUGAUCUUAGAUUUGAUCUUAAAAUCACUUUGGGACUGGGAUCCCUUGCUGAUUGACAAGUAGACUUUCUGGGGCCUUGAUGGAGUGGGGAACAAGUAGUAGAGUGGGACUGGGGGAGACCCAGGCCCCGGGCUGAGCACUAUGAAGCCUGGAUAUGAAGACUCAGCCCAGCGAGCUCAUUCCCUCACCCCCAGCUACUGCUGCUGCUGCUGCUUCAGUGGAAGAGAUGAAACCAAAGGAUAGAGUGAAAAUCCCUACCUUCAGAGACUCUAGCCCGGCCCAACACCAUCUUUUCCUGCCUCUCAGCCUUCUCCCUCCCCAGGGCCACUUGUUGAAGUCUGAGCACUUUAUGUAAAUUUCUAGUAGAGCAAGAUGGAGAGCCAUCUGGAAUUGACUUCCUUCUGUCUUUCUUCUAUGUUCGCUUACUACUUGGGCCCAUGUGGGAAAAAAAACUUUAAAAGGAAGGAAGUCUUCUUAGGGAUCCAGUUCAAAGCUAUUUGAGGGCAUCAAACUGAAACUCUUCUCUUCACUACUCAAGACUUCGUGCCUCAGUCUAAGAUCCAGGCUGGUAGAGCUGCCAUUAUCAGGAAGUGUUGCUGUUCACCAUGGUGGAGCAGGAAGAAAGCCUGAUGAAUCACCUGCUAGCUCUGAGAGCUUCUGCCCGGGAGUGACUCUCGUUGUUUCUGUUCAUGUGUCAUAAGCCAAAGCACAUCCUAUGGCCAUUCCUAACAUCCCAUGCCAUCCCAAGAGAGCCAAAAUAUUUGUGACCAGGUCUCAUGUCAGAGAAGUGGUGCCCUCUGAUCUAGGAAGGUGCAGAAAGCUGUUUAACCUGCAUGGGGUUGCCACCUGUGCUGCGUUGCUGUUCAGAGUUGGUGUUGUCUCAUUUGUGGUCAGGCUGCAACCAUCGCUCUUCAGCGCACCAGCCCCUAGCAGCCCUCCCUGGCCACUUCAAGUUUAUGACUUUCGAUGUGCAAUGGACUGAUAAAUCAGCCACAUUAUUAAAAACUCUUGUCUAAGGGAAAACAAGACAGUCAGUGAGCGAGGGUUUUAGGGACUCUCUUGCAGCUAAAGUAUGUCACCUUUAGCGCAUGGGCUUCGUAAUCCUCUGACUGCUCCAGAAGGGGUAUCACGAGGCCUUUGGUCCCUUGUUCUGGUUUUUGGUUAGCUUCCAGGGGCCUGAAGGACACUUCAUAAAUGGCCUUUAGAUAAGCAAGGAAAUCCUGAUGGUAACUGACAUGUGCCGAUAAAUCGCAUCCUAGUGAAUCUUUUCCAGUAAGAGGAUGUCUUGGGUUUCUUUUUUUUUUUUUUUUUUUAGUAGAGACGGGGUUUCACCGUGUUAGCCGGGAUGGUCUCUCCUGACCUCAUAAUCCACCCGCCUUGGCCUCCUAAAGUGCUGGGAUUACAGGCGUGAGCCACCGUGCCCGGCCUGUCUUGGGUUUCUUUGGCAUCUUCUCAUUCCCCAUCCCACUGCAGGACUCUGUGCCUGUGGAGGCCUCCUAGUGGUAUAAUGUGAAGUUUCUGUGCAUGGGAUGGUAAAUAAAUAUCCCUUCCACUUCCUGGACUUGUCAGACUAAGGCUGGUUGGAUUCUUGCUGUGUCCCUAAUGCAGUCCCCGAGCCCCUUUCCACUGUGCAUUCUGACACAGCUCCCCAUCUUGUCCUUCCUCAAAAAUUCUACUGGGCUCUUGAAAUGUCAAAUGAUGGAUUCCAACUCCCUGUCUUGACUUUGUGGGGACCUUCAUCUACCCCCUUUUUUUCUGGAGCACCACUUAUCCCUAGGCUCACAAAGUGACAGAGGGACAGGAGAGGCCAUACUGUAUGUUUGGGACUCAUCCUCAUUAGGAAGCUUACUUUCUAUCCCAUCAUAGCCUGGUACAGAGGGCAGCUGUCCCUGGCCAUAGCUGCAGGGCACAGUGACAAUGAGGGUGCUGAGAAUGAUUGUCGCUGUGUGUCAGGACUGUGCUCUGGGCUGACAUGCAUCAUUUCACUUACUUCUCACGGUAAUCCCACCAGCUCAGGUGGCAUUGGCCUCAUUUUAUGUAGGAGGAAACAGAGGCUUCAAGAAGUGAUUUCAUCAGGCUCUCAGCAAGAAUUUGGCAAAGCUGGGACGUAGGCAUCAAAGUUUGAGGUUUUUUUUUUUUUUUUUUUGAGACGGAGUUUUGCUCUUGUUGCCCAGGCUGGAGUGCAAUGGCAUGAUCUCGGCCCACUGCAACCUCUGCCUUCUGGGUUCAAGCGAUUCUCCUGCCUCAGCCUCCAGAGUUGCUGGGAUUAUAGGCAUGUGCCACCAUGCCCAGCUAAUUUUUGUAUUUUUACUAGAGAUGGGGUUUCACCAUGUUGGUCAGGCUGGUCUCGAACUCUUGACCUCAGGGGAUCCACCCGCCUCGGCCUUCCAAAGUGCUGGGAUUACAGCCACGAGCCACCGCGCCCAGCCAAGGGUUUUUGCUUUGUUUUGUUUUGUUUUCUUGAGAUGGUCUCCUGUCACCCAGGCUGGAGUACAGUGGCGUGAUCACAGCUCACUGCAGCCUCGACCUCCUGGCCUUAAUCCAUCUGCCUGCCUCAGCCUCCUGAGUAGCUGGGACCGCAAGCGCACACCACCAUGCCCGGCUAAUAAAACCUGAGCUCUUAAUUACUGUGCUGUCAACCCUAAUAUACAUACUUGACUUUGCAGUUUCUCCCAUUUCUUCAGACUCUCAGGAUAUAGGGAAUGUAUUAAUCUCAUGAUUAAUUAACUAAAAAAUAUCAAAAUCUUCAGCAACUUCUACAUGACCUGUGUUGAGUUUCAGUGAUAUCCUCAGCAUUAUUGAGAAAUGGGUUGGGAGAGAAAAACGGCUUCGCCAGAAACUGGGUCAGGUACUUGGUUGAUGGGUGGGGUGUGGGGGGUUGUUUGUUUUUUGUUUGUUUUUGAGACAGUGUCACUCUGUUGCCCAGGCUGGAGUGCAGUGGCAUGAUCACUCCUCACUGUACCCUCAACCUCCCAGCCUUAAGCAAUCCUCCCACCUCGGCCUUCCAAGUAGCUGGGACUACAGGUACAUACCACCACACCUGGCUAAUUUUUUGUUUAUUUUUUGUAAAGACAGUGGUCUGUCUGUGUUGCCAGGGCUGGUCUCAAACUCCUGGGCUCCAAUGAUCCUCCUGCCUCAGCCUCCCAAAGGGCUGAGGUUACAGGUGUGAGCAGUUCAGGGACUAAGAACACAGUCUUUGAAAUCAGACAGCUCCAACACUAUUAGCCCUGUGACUUUAUGCUAACUCCUUCACUUCUAUGGCCUUUAAUGUUCUUAUUUGUGAAAUGGGGAUUCUAAUAGUAUUUAACUCAUAAGGUGGUUGUGAUAAUUAAAUGAAAUAAUGCAUGUAAAGCACUUAGCAUGGUGGCUAGAUUAAGGACUUAAUAAACAUUAGCUAUUA